GUGGGGAAUCUUAGACAAUGGGGGAAACCCUGAUCUAGCCAUGCCGCGUGAGCGAUGAAGGCCUUAGGGUUGUAAAGCUCUUUCAGCUGGGAAGAUAAUGACGGUACCAGCAGAAGAAGCCCCGGCUAACUCCGUGCCAGCAGCCGCGGUAAUACGGAGGGGGCUAGCGUUGUUCGGAAUUACUGGGCGUAAAGCGCGCGUAGGCGGACCAGAAAGUUGGAGGUGAAAUCCCAGGGCUCAACCUUGGAACUGCCUUCAAAACUCCUGGUCUGGAGUUCGAGAGAGGUGAGUGGAAUUCCGAGUGUAGAGGUGAAAUUCGUAGAUAUUCGGAGGAACACCAGUGGCGAAGGCGGCUCACUGGCUCGAUACUGACGCUGAUGUGCGAAAGCGUGGGGAGCAAACAGGAUUAGAAACCCGAGUAGUCC
rnacentral:rRNA from 1 species